ensembl:snRNA U2 U2 spliceosomal RNA
GCUGCUUCUCAGCCUUUUGGCUAAGAUCAAGUGUAGUAUCUGUUCUUAUCAGUUUAAUAUUUGAUAUGUCUUCCCUGGUGGCUCGGACUGUAAAGCGUCUGUCUAUGAUGUGGGAGACCCAGGUUCGAUACCUGGGUUGGGAAAGAUCCCUU